rnacentral:rRNA from 1 species
GCUGACGAGUGGCCGUUGGGUGAGUAAUGUCUGGGAAACUGCCUGAUGGAGGGGGAUAACUACUGGAAACGGUAGCUAAUACCGCAUAACGUCGCAAGACCAAAGAGGGGGACCUUCGGGCCUCUUGCCAUCGGAUGUGCCCAGAUGGGAUUAGCUAGUAGGUGGGGUAACGGCUCACCUAGGCGACGAUCCCUAGCUGGUCUGAGAGGAUGACCAGCCACACUGGAACUGAGACACGGUCCAGACUCCUACGGGAGGCAGCAGUGGGGAAUAUUGCACAAUGGGCGCAAGCCUGAUGCAGCCAUGCCGCGUGUAUGAAGAAGGCCUUCGGGUUGUAAAGUACUUUCAGCGGGGAGGAAGGGAGUAAAGUUAAUACCUUUGCUCAUUGACGUUACCCGCAGAAGAAGCACCGGCUAACUCCGUGCCAGCAGCCGCGGUAAUACGGAGGGUGCAAGCGUUAAUCGGAAUUACUGGGCGUAAAGCGCACGCAGGCGGUUUGUUAAGUCAGAUGUGAAAUCCCCGGGCUCAACCUGGGAACUGCAUCUGAUACUGGCAAGCUUGAGUCUCGUAGAGGGGGGUAGAAUUCCAGGUGUAGCGGUG